GAGGAACUCAGUAAAGCCUGCUCCAAACUUCUCAGCUGUUGACAGGCUUGACUUGCUGAGAACACUGGUUAAAUAUAGCACACGCGAGCUGAGCUCAACAAAGUCAUUGCUGUAACACUGUGCGAAGAGACCAGAAGAGGGGAAAUACAAUCUGAGAACUAAACUGCCAAAGCCUAACACCACCUAGCAACAGUUGAAAAAACUUUUAAACAAAAGUCUGGGUGAGACACCGACAGAGUAUACCCCUACUUCUCCUGCCUGGGAUUUCUGUGAGAGCGGCUACGGUCUUCUGUUCUCUACCCUCUUGCCUUCACCACUUCAGCUGCUGGUGGACCUAGAAAAGUGGGAAAAGUUUCUCUCUUUGUGUUCUCCUGGGCUGGAUCAGGCUAAUACUGUGGGACAAGCUGCUGCAAUCUUGAGGGGUGAAGGAUAUAUUCCUAGGUUCUUCUUGCUCCCAGGGAGCAGCAGGGACCCCAGUCAGCCUCGGGUGGGAGCAGCAAAGCAAUGGCACAGGGACACCUUCAGCCUCGACUCUCUCCUCCCGGGUCCGGACCUAGAUUCUAGCGAAGUCCGUGCUCCGGCAGCGUCCCUCGACACAGAUAGGGAUGAGGUCCCGAAACCAAGGCGGAGAAAGCUCGUCUAACGGGCACUUCUCCAGUUCCAAGCCUGUCAUCAGCCAUGCAGAGAAUGAAAAACUUCAGGAGGAUGCCAAGAAAAAGAACAAACCUCAUCGGAAGGAAGAUGAGGUCAUGGUAUCUGCAACUGUCAAACGGCACUCAAAAUCACCUGGACCUAGCGAACGAAAGAACAAGAAGUCCAUAGAGUUUUCUAAAGAGGACUUAAUAAAACUCCUCAGCAUAAUGGAAGGAGAGUUGCAGGCAAGGGAGGAUGUGAUCCAUAUGCUGAAGACAGAGAAAACCAAACCUGAAGUUUUAGAAGCUCAUUAUGGAUCUGCAGCUCCAGAGAAUGUGCUCCGAGUGCUACACAGGGAUGCCAUCCUUGCCCAAGAAAAAUCGAUAGGAGAAGAUGUCUAUGAGAAACCAAUUUCAGAGCUGGACAGACUUGAAGAAAAGCAGAAAGAGACAUAUCGACGCAUGCUGGAACAGCUUCUCUUGGCAGAAAAGUGCCAUCGCCGCACAGUUUAUGAGCUAGAAAAUGAGAAGCAUAAACACACAGAUUACAUGAACAAGAGCGAUGACUUUACCAACCUCUUGGAACAGGAGCGUGAGAGGUUGAAGAAACUUCUCGAGCAGGAGAAGAUCUAUCAAGCCCGCAAGGAGAAAGAACAUACAAAGAGACUCAAUAAACUAAGAGAAGAACUAGUCAAGCUCAAAUCAUUUGCACUCAUGCUGGUGGAUGAAAGACAAAUGCAUAUUGAACAACUUGGACAACAAAGCCAGAAAAUACAAGAUCUAAAUCAAAAACUAAAGGAAGAAGAAGAAAAACUUAAAAUUAUUAGUGCAAAAACAAAAGAAGAUGGACAAAAACUGAUGAAGUUGGAAACAGAACUUGAACACAGGACACUAUCAUUUUCUCAAGAACAUGAGGAGAUGACUGCUAAACUGGUUAAUCAGGAGUCACACAAUAGACAGCUGAGGCUUAAGCUAGUUGGAUUGACCCGUCGAAUAGAGGAACUAGAAGAAACUAACAAAAAUCUUCAAAAAGCUGAGGAGGAACUUCAGGAACUAAGAGAUAAAAUAGCAAAAGGGGAAUGUGGGAACUCUAGCUUAAUGGCAGAAGUGGAAAACCUCCGCAAACGUGUGCUUGAAAUGGAAGGAAAAGAUGAAGAGAUCACAAAAACUGAAUCUCAGUGUAAAGAGCUGAAGAAUAAGCUGCAAGAGGAAGAGCACCAUAGCAAAGAGCUGAAACUUGAAGUGGAAAAAUUGCAGAAAAGAAUGUCAGAACUAGAGAAACUGGAAGAGGCUUUUACUAAAAGUAAGUCUGAAUGCACCCAGCUACACUUAAACUUGGAAAAAGAAAAGAAUUUAACUAAAGAUUUGAUAAAUGAGUUGGAAGUGGUGAAGACUCGAGUAAAAGACCUUGAGUCAUCAGAAAGCAAGUUGGAAAAGGCUGAAAUAAGCUUAAAAGAUGACCUUACAAAGCUGAAGUCAUUUACUGUAAUGUUGGUUGAUGAACGAAAAAAUAUGAUGGAAAAAAUAAAACAGGAAGAAAAAAAGGUUGAGAGUUUAAACAAGAAUUUUAAAGUGGAACAAGGGAAAGUUAUGGAUGUUACUGAGAAACUGAUAGAAGAAAGCAAGAAGUUUUUGAAACUGAAAUCUGAAAUGGAGGAAAAAGUGUCUAGUUUAACAAAGGAAAGAGAUGAAUUAAUCAGCAAACUGAAAAGUGAAGAAGAAAAAUCCUCUGAACUAAGCUGUAGAGUUGAUCUGUUAAAGAAAAGAAUUGAUGGUAUGGAGGAAGUAGAAAGAGAAAUAACAAGAGGUCGAGCCAGAAAAGGACCGGAGCAUGCUUGUCACGAGGACAAUAAGAUUAAAGAACUUACCAUUGAAAUAGAAAAACUGAAAAAACGUCUCAAGCAAUUGGAAGUGGUUGAAGGAGAUUUGAUGAAGACAGAAGAUGAAUAUGAUCAGCUAGAGCAGAAAUUUAGAACUGAGCAGGACAAAGCUAACUUUCUCUCUCAACAGCUGGAGGAGAUGAAACUCCAGAUUGCCAAAAACAAAGCCAUAGAAAAAGGUGAAGCAGUGAGCCAGGAAGCAGAGUUGAGGCACAGAUUUCGUCUGGAAGAGGCUAAAAGCAGAGACUUGCAAGCAGAAGUUCAAGCUCUUAAGGAGAAAAUCCAUGAGCUGAUGAACAAAGAAGACCAGCUUUCCCAACUCCAAGUUGAUUAUUCAGUUCUUCAACAAAGAUUUAUGGAAGAAGAAAAUAAAAACAAAAGCAUGGGGCAGGAAGUUCUGAACUUAACAAGAGAGUUAGAACUUUCUAAGCGUUACAGUCGUGCUCUGAGGCCCAGCAUAAAUGGACGGAGAAUGGUAGAUAUUCCUGUGACAUCCACUGGUGUGCAAACAGAUGCUGUAAGCAGUGAAGCAGCAGAAGAAGAAACUCCAGCUGUAUUUAUAAGGAAAUCCUUCCAGGAGGAGAACCACAUCAUGAGCAAUCUGCGACAAGUAGGUCUGAAAAAACCCAUGGAACGUUCUUCGGUGCUUGAGAGAUAUCCUCCAGCAGCAAAUGAACUUGCAAUGAGGAAAUCUUGGAUACCAUGGAUGAGAAAGAGGGAAACUGGGGCUCAAGUAACUCCUGAUAAAGGACCCCGAACCCAUGGUAGUGCCGGGCAUCCUGGGGAGGUUGUCCUAUCACCAAAGCAAGGUCAACCUCUUCAUAUUCGAGUGACACCAGAUCAUGAGAAUAGCACAGCUACUUUGGAGAUAACCAGUCCAACCUCAGAGGAAUUUUUUUCAAGCACCACUGUCAUUCCUACUUUGGGAAACCAGAAGCCACGAAUAACCAUCAUUCCCUCUCCAAAUGUUAUGUCCCCAAAAGGAAAGGGCAGUGAAAGUCCAAUGGGCUCAGAUCGUUCUAUGUCUCCAGUCACUAUAACAACAUUCUCCAGGGAAAAGUCUCCAGAUGGAGGGAGAGCACCGUUUUUGGACAGACCUGCAUCACCAAUUCAGAUUAUGACAGUAUCGACAUCUGCAGCACCAGCAGAAAUCUCUGUUUCUCCACAGUCACAAGAUAUGACCAUGGGAAGGGCUGUCUUCAAAGUAACACCAGAAAAACAAACUGUCCCAACUCCAGUCCGGAAGUACAAUGCCAAUGCCAACAUUAUAACAACAGAAGACAACAAAAUUCACAUCCACUUAGGUUCUCAGUUUAAGCGCUCUCCUAAUGCUGCAUCUGAUGGUGCAAGUCCUGUGAUAACAGUCAGACCAGUGAAUAUAGCAGCAGAAAAAGAAGUUGUGACUGGUACCGUCCUGCGAUCCCCCCGGAACAAUCUGUCCCCACGACCAGGAGCAAGCAAAGUGACAAGUACUAUCACUAUAACUCCUGUUACAACAUCUUCCACACGAGGAACACAAUCAGUGACAGGACAGGAUGGGUCAUCCCCGAGACCUACACCCACCCGCAUUCCCGUGUCAAAAGGUAUGAAAGCAGGAAAGCCAGUAGUGGCAGCCCCAGGAGCAGGAAAUGUGACAAAAUUCGAGCCUCGUGCCGAGACUCAGUCUAUGAAAAUAGAACUGAAGAAGUCUUCAGCCAGCAGCUCUGCCUCCCUGGGCGGGGGGAAGGGCUGAUGGCGGUGGCUGAGGGGGAGAGAUUUGAUAGAAGACUCUACUACGGAAGGUCAGCAAAAUUAUAUUCAAUCCAAGCGAUGUUUUGUCUUAGUCAGCCCUUUGCACUGCUCUCCUGUUUAAGAUCCAGAGAGUGUCAUCAUUCAUCAGUUACGCAUGAACUCUAGAUGAGACACCCUCCCCCAGCAGAUCCUCUCUGUGUGCACUACCCUCCUGACCAGUUGGAUGGAUCACUGCAGAAGCUCUCUACCAUCAACACCGGGGUCGCUUGUGCUACUGAUUAUUCAUGGAAGUGUUUUAUUGCUUCCAUUAGGUUUUAUAUAUUUUUUCUUGGUAGAGCUCUAAGAAUGAAUGGCCUUGCUGAUAUUUUGAGAGUACAUAGUCAGAGAGAGAGUAGCAGUCUUUCUGCCAGCUGAAUUUCACUUUUAUUUGUGAAGCCUAAAGCACGUGCUUGGUUUUGUUUGAUGUUUGCAAUAUAAUUUAUUUUUAUAAUACACUUUGUAAUGUAACUGUCCCAAAAUUGUAAUUCCUGUUGUCCAUGGCGCAUUUAUUUGUAGAAUACACUGUCAAAUUUGCAAUUUGAUAUUUUUGUAAUAAAGAGUAUGUAAAGAAAGUAAAAUUUAAUUUCAGCAACAUUUUAUCUUUAAAUGGAAAAAGUAUUCAGCACAAAUUUUUUGCCAUCAUAUGAUUCUGUGAGACUAAAUGCUCUGAAGACUGCUGUAUAGAAUUUGUACUGUUGCAGAAUAUUUCUUGCACUGUGUGAUGGUUUGGCAUAAAAUUAAGUAUUAAAGUCCAAUGCCUUGAAAUACAACCAGAAUUACUCAUUUUAAACAAUGUAAGCCAGUUUUUAAAGCUGUGAUUUUUUUCUAUAUAAUGUAUGUUUUUACUUCUGCCUGUACCAAAAGAGUUGAUUUUCAUUACACUGUAGUUAAUAAAUUUUCACAACUAUGCAAAUGUAAUCAAGUGUUUGAAUUUUAACUCUAAUUUCUUAAGGUUGACAGUAUUCACUUAUAUAUUUGUUAAUAGGGACAGAAAGUAUGGCUUUGAUAUUUGCUUUUUCUGACUGGUAUUUCAGUGUAAUAUCACAGUGAUAUACAUAGUAAAGCUGAUUCAAAUGUUGUUUAUGAUAUGAAGAGGAAUCUAUCACCAAGCACUUAAUGAUGUAACUGUUUCUAACUUUUGCUUUCACUUCAUUGGCAAAUAUGUCAACUCAGUAUGAGACCAUUUAGUGCAAGACUAGUAAGACUGUAUAAAUGAGAUGUCGUGCACUCUGCCGUAUGCUGUACUAAGCAUUUUAUACUGGUGGCUGUAGCUUUUCAAACAGCAUCUGGAAAGCUCUGUGGCAGCUAUACUUAAAGUGAUUUUUGAGUGAAUUAUAUAUAAAGCCAGAUACAACCCAUAAAAGAUCUUUUCUUCUUAUGUAUUCUAUAAUGCAUUUUUAGUUUAAAUCAUCAACAUAUUCAAAAUACUGCAGACUUUUUAUUAUAGAAGGUACUGGGAGAAACAGAGUGACUUGUAUUUUUUGGAAGAUAAAGCGGUGUUGCUUUGCAGCAGGAGAUAGGACUUGGGAUGCCAGAAAGAGUGCAUUAGCUCAGUGUCCCACUGAGAUGACCAAAACAGUUCAUCUUUGAAGCUGUAAUAUCGCGUUGGUAUGUAGUCAAUUUGAUCUUCAUGUUUCAGUUUGCUUUCCAACCAUUGGAGAUGUUUUUUCUUCUAGAUGAGAAUUCUGUAACAAAUACUGAAAUUGUAAAGUGGCAGGAUAUCUUGGGCCUGUAUAAGCUUUCUUGGGGUUUAUCUGCACUGUAAAAAGUUUGCUAAUAUGGCUAUAAUGAGUAGUCUAAACACAAUAAAUGCUGUUUAUAUUUGCCAAA